rnacentral:rRNA from 1 species
CCUACGGGAGGCAGCAGUGAGGAAUAUUGGUCAAUGGACGAGAGUCUGAACCAGCCAAGUCGCGUGAAGGAUGACUGCCCUAUGGGUUGUAAACUUCUUUUAUAAAGGAAUAAAACGAGGCACGUGUGCCUUUUUGCAUGUACUUUGUGAAUAAGGAUCGGCUAAAUCCGUGCCAGCAGCCGCGGUAAUACGGCGGGUCCGAGCGUUAUCCGGAUUUAUUGGGUUUAAAGGGAUCGUAGAUUGGUUGUUAAGUCAGUUGUGAAAGUUUGCGGCUCAACCGUAAAAUUGCAAUUGAUACUGGCAGUCUUGAGUACAGUGGAGGUAAGCGGAAUUCGUGGUGUAGCGGUGAAAUGCGUAGAUAUCACGAAGAACCCCGAUUGCGAAGGCAGCUUACUAAACUGUGACUGACGUUGAUGCUCGAAAGCGUGGGUAUCAAACAGGAUUAGAUACCCGUGUAGUC